rnacentral:rRNA from 1 species
GUAGGUGGCAAGCGUUGUCCGGAAUUAUUGGGCGUAAAGCGCGCGCAGGCGGUUCUUUAAGUCUGGUGUGAAAGCCCACGGCUCAACCGUGGAGGGUCAUUGGAAACUGGAGAACUUGAGUACAGAAGAGGAAAGCGGAAUUCCACGUGUAGCGGUGAAAUGCGUAGAGAUGUGGAGGAACACCAGUGGCGAAGGCGGCUUUCUGGUCUGUAACUGACGCUGAGGCGCGAAAGCGUGGGGAGCAAACAGGGAUUAGAUACCCUGGUAGUCCACGCCGUAAACGAUGAGUGCUAAGUGUUAGGGGGGUUUCCCGCCCCCUUAGUGCUGCAGCUAACGCAUUAAGCACUCCGCCUGGGGAGUACGGCCGCAAGGCUG